AGAUCAUGGAUGGGGCUGGUCAUAGUGAUGAAGCAGGGCCUGCAGUACCUCCACCUGAAGUUCCCUAGGAUGCUGAUCAUCUUCUCCUCCUCCUCAGUCUUCCAGUGGAGGUCUGUCAACCCAAGACAGUUAAAUAAAUAAAAGUUAAAAAGUAUAUUUGAGACCCUUAGACCCACUAUCAGGAGCAAUAAAGCAGCUGUAACUAACUACAAUAUAUGUUACAGGAGCUUGCUCAUUAGCUUGGCUAUUACAACUUACAUGUGGCUCACGUCCAGUUUGUCAGGAAACAAUCACAAACCAGUAGUUUCACUGACUGUACGCCAGAUCUUAUAAUACGUUUAAGGCCUCUCUACGUCUUUACGGUGGGUGAAUUUUAAGACCAAUCAGAGGCGGUUGCUAGGCAGACCAGAACCGGUCGACCAAUCAGCGUUUUUCUGCCAAUGUUAGCCGACGUAUGCCACGAUGUGUCUCGUCAUUGGCCAGAACCUUCUGAGGGGGUGGGGGCUGAGAGGCGGAGAAACGAAGUCGGAAAACAGAUUUAAACCAAGUUUGAAGAGUUGCUUCCGUUUGCCAGUACUGUGAGAAAACGUCGUUGCUAGAGAGGUCUGGACGCUAAAAGAAAUUCUGUGGCUGUUUUUUGUCGUUAAUGAAGAGGUCUGGAUGCUAAAACAAACUCUGAAGCUGUUUUUUUGUCAAACACGAGUGAGACUGGAAACUGAGCACACCUGCGCCGUGAAGUGUCACCACUUCGUCCAUGAUCAGAGUAUCUUCAUACAAUGAAGAAGUUCUUUGAAACCAGGACUGAGUCGUUCAGGAUUCAAACUUGAACCAUUAAAUCACAGAGAGAAGAGACAGACGUGAAGACAUUUCCAGAAGGUCUUCAGCUGCUGUCAUCCUCUCCUGAAGAGACAAGAACACGUGUUAAUCACAGAAAUUGAUGAGUAAAUCAAAAACAUUUUUAUGACAUUUUUUUGAUGUUUUUAUGCCUUACUGUUAUGAUGAUUUCAGUUGGUUUUUGACACCUUACUAUACUGUGACAUGCGACUUAAGACAAAGGAACUAUCCUGAAGUAGCCAUCUUACCUUUGUUUUCCACAGACACAGGUUAGAUUUUAAUAUUGUGUAUAAUUUUUAUAUCUUGCCUUGUAUAUAUAAUGCCGUUUUCUUUUUUUGCUGUUGCAACACUGAAUUUCCCCAUUGUAGGACUGGUGAAGGUCUAUCUUACUCAAAUAAAUACUUCUGA